rnacentral:rRNA from 1 species
AUAUUGCACAAUGGAGGAAACUCUGAUGCAGCAACGCCGCGUGAGGGGAGAAGGUCUUCGGAUUGUAAACCUUUGUCCUCGGUGAAGAAACAAAUGACGGUAGCCGAGGAGGAAGCCACGGCUAACUACGUGCCAGCAGCCGCGGUAAUACGUAGGUGGCAAGCGUUGUCCGGAAUUACUGGGUGUAAAGGGUGCGCAGGCGGGACUGCAAGUUGGAUGUGAAAUACCGGGGCUCAACCCCGGGGCUGCAACCAAAACUGUGGUUCUUGAGUGAAGUAGAGGCAAGCGGAAUUCCGAGUGUAGCGGUGAAAUGCGUAGAUAUUCGGAGGAACACCAGUGGCGAAGGCGGCUUGCUGGGCUUUAACUGACGCUGAGGCACGAAAGCAUGGGGAGCAAACAGGA